AUUGAACGCUGGCGGCAGGCCUAACACAUGCAAGUCGAACGAGUGGCGGACGGGUGAGUAAUGUCUGGGAAACUGCCUGAUGGAGGGGGAUAACUACUGGAAACGGUAGCUAAUACCGCAUACCAUCGGAUGUGCCCAGCUGGGAUUAGCUAGUAGGUGGGGUAAAGGCUCACCUAGGCGACGAUCCCUAGCUGGUCUGAGAGGAGGACCAGCCACACUGGAGCUGAGACAGAGUGCAGACUCCUGCGGGAGGCAGCAGUGGGGAAUAGUGCACAAUGGGCCAAAGACUGAUGCAGCCAUGCCGCAUGUAUGAAGAAGACCUUCAGGUUGUAAAGUACUUUCAGCAGGAAGGCGUUACCAUCAGAAGAAGCACCGGCUAACUCCGAGCCAGCCGCCGCGGUGAUUC
rnacentral:rRNA from 1 species